AUACCGGCAGCUCAAGUGAUGACCGAUAUUAUUGGGCCUAAAGCGUCCGUAGCCGGCCAUAAAGGUCCAUCGGGAAAUCCGCCAGCUUAACUGGCGGGCGUCCGGUGGAAACCAUAUGGCUUGGGACCGGAAGGCUCGAGGGGUACGUCCGGGGUAGGAGUGAAAUCCCGUAAUCCUGGACGGACCACCGAUGGCGAAAGCACCUCGAGAAGACGGAUCCGACGGUGAGGGACGAAAGCUAGGGUCUCGAACCGGAUUAGAUACCCGGGUAGUCCUAGCUGUAAACGAUGCUCGCUAGGUGUGGCACAGGCUACGAGCCUGUGCUGUGCCGUAGGGAAGCCGAGAAGCGAGCCGCCUGGGAAGUACGUCCGCAAGGAUGAA
rnacentral:rRNA from 2 species